rfam:Listeria aquatica FSL S10-1188 c2p2, whole genome shotgun sequence.
CGUGAAAUAAAUCACAAACAAAUACCCCCUUUAUUUGAUUGUGUGAAUUUCUCCUUUUGAUUGCGCUGAAAGAAGCUGUACCCCUUGUGGUACAGCUUUUUUCGUUG